CCUACGGGUGGCAGCAGUGGGGAAUAUUGGGCAAUGGGCGAAAGCCUGACCCAGCAACGCCGCGUGAAGGAAGAAGGCCUUCGGGUUGUAAACUCCUUUUGACAGGGAAGAGCAGAAGACGGUACCUAGCCAAUAAGCGACGGCUAACAACGUGCCAGUAGCCGCGGUAAUAGGUAGGUGGCAAGCGUUGUCCGGAUUUGCUGGGUGUAAAGGGCGUGUAGCCGGGAUGACAAGUCAGAUGUGAAAUCCGGGGGCUCAAACCCCGAACCGCAUUUGAAACUGUUGUUCUUGAGUAUCGGAGAGGCAGGCGGAAUUCCUGGUGUAGCGAUGAAAUGCGUAGAUAUUAGGAAGAACACCAGUGGCGAAGGCAGCCUGCUGGACGACAACUGACGGUGAAGCGCGAAAGCGUGGGGAGCGAACAGGAUUAGAUACCCUGGUAGUC
rnacentral:rRNA from 1 species